rnacentral:sRNA from 1 species
GAGCGAGAAUUCUCUGAAUUCAACCUCCCACCCGUGUUUAUUGUACCUUGUUGCUUCGGCGGGCCCGCAUCACGGCCGCCGGGGGGCAUCUGCCCCCGGGCCCGCGCCCGCCGAAGACACCUUGAACUCUGUAUGAACAUUGCAGUCUGAGUCUAAAUAUAAAUUAUUUAAAACUUUCAACAACGGAUCUCUUGGUUCCGGCAUCGCUGAAGAACGCAGCGAAAUGCGAUACGUAAUGUGAAUUGCAGAAUUCAGUGAAUCAUCGAGUCUUUGAAAGCACAUUGCGCCCCCUGGUAUUCCGGGGGGCAUGCCUGUCCGAGCGUCAUUGCUGCCCUCAAGCCCGGGUUGUGUGUUGGGUCUCGUCCCCCUUCCCGGGGGGACGGGCCCGAAAGGCAGCGGCGGCACCGCGUCCGCUCCUCGAGCGUAUGGGGCUUUGUCACCCGCUCUGUAGGCCCGGCCGGCGCUUGCCGAUCAACCAAAACU